rnacentral:rRNA from 1 species
GCACUUUUGUACGGGAAGAAAAGCCCUGGGUUAAUACCCUGGGGUCAUGACGGUACCGUAAGAAUAAGCACCGGCUAACUUCGUGCCAGCAGCCGCGGUAAUACGAAGGGUGCAAGCGUUACUCGGAAUUACUGGGCGUAAAGCGUGCGUAGGUGGUCUGUCAAGUCCGAUGUGAAAGCCCUGGGCUCAACCUGGGAACUGCAUUGGAAACUGGCAGUCUGGAGUGCGGUAGAGGGUAGCGGAAUUCCCGGUGUAGCAGUGAAAUGCGUAGAUAUCGGGAGGAACAUCCGUGGCGAAGGCGGCUACCUGGACCAGCACUGACACUGAGGCACGAAAGCGUGGGGAGCAAACAGGAUUAGAUACCCUGGUAGUCCACGCCCUAAACGAUGCGAACUGGAUGUUGGGGGCACUUUGGCCUUCAGUAUCGAAGCUAACGCGUUAAGUUCGCCGCCUGGGGAGUACGGUCGCAAGACUGAAACUCAAAGGAAUUGACGGGGGCCCGCACAAGCGGUGGAGUAUGUGGUUUAAUUCGAUGCAACGCGCAGAACCUUACCUGGCCUUGACAUCCACGGAACCCUCCAGAGACGGAGGGGUGCCUUCGGGAACCGUGAGACAGGUGC